CCUACGGGAGGCAGCAGUGAGGAAUAUUGGUCAAUGGACGAGAGUCUGAACCAGCCAAGUAGCGUGAAGGAUGACUGCCCUAUGGGUUGUAAACUUCUUUUAUAAAGGAAUAAAACGAGGCACGUGUGCCUUUUUGCAUGUACUUUAUGAAUAAGGAUCGGCUAACUCCGUGCCAGCAGCCGCGGUAAUACGUAGGAUCCGAGCGUUAUCCGGAUUUAUUGGGUUUAAAGGGAGCGUAGAUGGGUUGUUAAGUCAGUUGUGAAAGUUUGCGGCUCAACCGUAAAAUUGCAAUUGAUACUGGCAGUCGUGAGUACAGUUGAGGUAGGCGGAAUUCGUGGUGUAGCGGUGAAAUGCUUAGAUAUCACGAAGAACCCCGAUUGCGAAGGCAGCUUACUAAACUGUGACUGACAUUGUUGCUCGAAAGUGUGGGUAUCAAACAGGAUUAGAUACCCGGGUAGUC
rnacentral:rRNA from 1 species